rnacentral:rRNA from 1 species
CACCGGCGCUCCAAGUGGCAACCACAUUUAUUGGGUCUAAAGCGUUCGUAGCUGGUUUGGUAAAUCUUUUGUGAAAUUGUUGGGCUUAACCUAACAACGUGCAGAAGACACUGCCGAACUUGGGACCGGGAAGGGAUAGAAGUAUUCCGGGGGGAGCGGUAAAAUGUUUUAAUCCUCGGAGGACUACCUAUGGCGAAGGCAUCUAUCUAGAACGGGUCCGACAGUGAUGAACGAAGGCUGAGGGAGCGAUCAGG